UUUUAUGAGAGUUUGAUCCUGGCUCAGGACGAACGCUGGCGGCGUGCCUAAUACAUGCAAGUCGAACGCUUCUUUUUCCACCGGAGCUUGCUCCACCGGAAAAAGAGGAGUGGCGAACGGGUGAGUAACACGUGGGUAACCUGCCCAUCAGAAGGGGAUAACACUUGGAAACAGGUGCUAAUACCGUAUAACAAUCGAAACCGCAUGGUUUUGAUUUGAAAGGCGCUUUCGGG
rnacentral:rRNA from 1 species